rnacentral:rRNA from 1 species
AGAGUUGAUCCUGGCUCAGGAUGAACGCUAGCUACAGGCUUAACACAUGCAAGUCGAGGGCAGCAUGAUCAAAGCUUGCUUGAUUGAUGGCGACCGGCGCACGGGUGAGUAACGCGUAUCCAACCUUCCCUAUAGUAGUGGAUAGCCCGGCGAAAGUCGGAUUAAUACACUAUGUUGUAUUUAGAGGACAUCUGAAGAAUACCAAAGGUUUACCGCUAUAGGAUGGGGAUGCGUCUGAUUAGAUAGUAGGCGGGUAACGGCCCACCUAGUCGACGAUCAGUAGGGGUUCUGAGAGGAAGGUCCCCCACAUUGGAACUGAGACACGGUCCAAACUCCUACGGGAGGCAGCAGUGAGGAAUAUUGGUCAAUGGACGGGAGUCUGAACCAGCCAAGUAGCGUGCAGGAUGACGGCCCUAUGGGUUGUAAACUGCUUUUAUACGGGGAUAAAGUGAGCCACGUGUGGCUUUUUGUAGGUACCGUAUGAAUAAGGACCGGCUAAUUCCGUGCCAGCAGCUGC